AAAGCCAGCAUUCCUCACAUUAAAAUUCCAUCUGGGGAUUUCUGUACGCAGGGAAUGCCUCAGAAUUGACUGACCUCUUCCAAGUCAUACAAGGAGUUUGUGGAUGUUUCUGGUCAUUUUGUCCUGUUCUGCUAAGCCCGAGUGCCCUGAGUGCUGCGCAUUGGUGUUGGGAUAGGGAGAGCCACAGCACCACUUUUCAAAGACGGCACUCGACUGGGCAGUGAAGCACAGCAAUCUUGAGAUGGCAGAGAUGGUCGCCAAAGCAGGCGUCGAUGUCAAUGCUAAAUCGUAUGUCACUUAUUUCAUUGUGACAGGGGUAAUGUAUUUGUAAACUGUGCUAUAAAUAUUGGAAUCUCAUAUUCAGACACCGGCAUAUCUCAUAUUCAGACACCAGCAUUUCUGAGCUAUGCUUUUUCAAAUGAAUUUAGAAUUGACAAAAAUUUUCAAAGCCAAAUUACUAGUGUGUCACUGUGAAAUUAGGUUCUUGACCCUGCUUCUGAUGUAUGCUUAUUUUUCUACACAUUUUCUCCUUCAAUUUUAUGCAUCACUAUUCACUGCUGGAAUUGGUGACAUGGCUUUCCCAAAAGGGGGUAAGUAAUACUUUAAUACACCUAUGAAAUGAGUCUGCCUUUUUCAUGAAUAUUCUGAAAGCAAGCUGUCACUGCAGUCAAUUGAUAUUCCUACGCUUCGUUGCAGAGAGGAGUGAACUUUUUAUGACAGGGCAUAUCUUGGCAAACUUUAUUUCAUCUCUGCGACACUUUCAAAUUUCAUUAUAUUGAGUUAUUUUCUAUUAUUUUAAGUGUGUUCCAUUUAUGAUUCAAGUGCUUUAUGGAUAAGCCAAAAAGCUGCAGAAGACCUUAUAUGUAAAGAGCUUUAAUCGAAACUUGUCCUGUGCUCUGUAAACUCUCCAGCAAAAUUGGCCAGUGGUUAGAUGUGGGGAAACAACUACUGUUGGAUUAGAAAAUGCAUCUGAACUCCUUAGCACUGCUGUGGAUAGUGAUUCCAUCAUUCUUAUUUUGCAUUUGCCAGUUUCUAGUACACACAUCACUAAGAGCGUAGAAGUAAUCGGCCAUCAUAUUUACCAACAGGCCUUAUCUCCUGCCAAAUCUGUAUAUUUUUAGUUUUGCUAAGUAACUAAAUGCACCCCUAUCACUUGAAAGACAUUAAAAUUCCUAUGUUCCAACAUUUCCCUGGUGAACAAGUUGAAAAGACAGUGUUUAUCCACCUGUAAAAUUGUUUAUCAAUUAUUUACGUGUAAGCCCUUGUGAACUGAUUCCCUGGUCUUAACAAGUUAAUAAGGAGCAGCUUAUUUCAAGGAAUAUACUUUUGGGCUGGAAUGAACUGGUCUUCACUGGCAUCUGCUUUUACAUGCUACCAUUAUAGUUGGUAGUAAAACUUUGAUACUGCUUUAAACACCUUGCCUGGCAUCUGUGCAUUUUAGAGGACUAAUUCAGCUACCAGUAGGAGACAGUUUGCUUUAAAAUUGCAGCCUUGUGAGGAUAUUAGCCAAGUUCCUUUAAUGUGUGUUGUCUUGAAUUUUUUCACCCACAAAACAAAGUGACAUAUUGAAUAGUAGAGCAAUGUGAGCACUGUCCUAUUGCUAGCAGAGAGCUGCAUUUUGCAAUAAUGUUCUUUGCUAGUCUUAUCAGAUGCAAUAUUGAUUUCUGUACCUGUCUUUGUGAACGUAGUCUGAGCUGAAACUGGAAUGUCACACCUAUAUUUCUUUGUAUUAUAAUUCAAUAAGGUAAUAAAAGGUAAUUGUGUAAUACUACUGUGUUCUUGGCAGCAAAACCAGGAAGAAAACUCUUAUUUACUUUAACUUACAUAUUGUGAACACAAUAAUGAACAAUCCUACAGGAGAAGGGAACAGAUUAGGUCACCUAUUAAGUUUGUCUUUCCAGCUCUUUCUAAUCACUCUAAUUCUGAAAUGGGUUUUCUUUCCAGGUGGUGGUAUUUAUUUUAUCUAGAAUUUAAUAGUUUUCUUUUUCCCAAUAUUUUCUUUCACAUGUUUUUAG